AUGACUAUAAAUUAUAUCAAGAAUGAAAGUGUUUGUCAGACUAUUUUUAUCUAACCUUAUACAGACAUACCCACCUUAAAAGUACAGAGCCAUUGUAUAUGAAGCAUUAUAAUCAUUACCCCACAUGCAUACACCACAUACUGUAACUCAAACAAUGUGUGACAAGCAAUUGUCCAUAGGACAAAUGAUGAUAGCUCUACUCAUCAUUACGCAAGUCCAGACUUUUUUUUUAUGUGGACAUGUCGAGCAAACAUCAACCCACUGCCAUACUAAUACUAGGAGACAUGUCGUAUUGUUCCUGAGUUACAGCACCAGAAGAGGAAGAACUCCAGCAAAUAGUUUUGGGGAAUCAAAAGACAGAUGGCAACAUAGAGAGCGAGGCAGAUGUACCGAGACGGAAAGCUGCGGGAAGAUACUUGAUGGAAGAUUUCCCAACGAGAGACGCAUAUCACCCAGAGCAAUACCAAUACAAAUGCUACGCUCCAUGUCUUUGAGGUAGAAUCCAAUGUAGAAAAGGCUGAGAUAUGAAUUUACAAACUGAAACUGCAAGACAGAGGUUAAAGGAAAAUGCGGCUGAAACACCUUGUUGAUGAGAGAGCUCAGAGGAGAAUGACCAGACUGGUUUGAGAUGACUGGAAGUCUACAAUAACUCAAAUAAGCACUCUUUACAACCGUGUGACUGUUAUGUGUGACAAUCUCAAGAGAUCAGCAGUUUCUGAAACACUCAAACCAGCCCUUACCACGAUACCAACAACCAUGCCAUGAUCAAAGUCACAGACAUCACACUUUUUCUUCAUUCUGAUGUUUGACGUGAACUGAAUUUUGUGCAUUUUACUGCUGCCACAUGAUUGGCUGAUUAGUUAACUGCAUGAAUGUGCAGAUGUAAAUGUGUUCCUAAUAAAGUAGACAG